ACUCCUGCGGGAGGCAGCAGUGAGGAAUAUUGGACAAUGGGUGGAAGCCUGAUCCAGCCAUCCCGCGUGCAGGAAGACGGCCCUAUGGGUUGUAAACUGCUUUUAUCUGGGGAUAAACCUACUUACGUGUAAGUAGCUGAAGGUACCAGAAGAAUAAGCACCGGCUAACUCAGUGCCAGCAGCCGCGGUAAUACGGAGGGUGCAAGCGUUAUCCGGAUUUAUUGGGUUUAAAGGGUCCGUAGGCGGACUGAUAAGUCAGUGGUGAAAUCCGACAGCUUAACUGUCGAACUGCCAUUGAUACUGUUAGUCUUGAGUAAGGUUGAAGUGGCUGGAAUAAGUAGUGUAGCGGUGAAAUGCAUAGAUAUUACUUAGAACACCAAUUGCGAAGGCAGGUCACUAAGUCUUAACUGACGCUGAUGGACGAAAGCGUGGGGAGCGAACAGGAUUAGAAACCCGUGUAGUCCCA
rnacentral:rRNA from 1 species